rnacentral:rRNA from 1 species
GACAGAGGUGCCAAGCGUUAGGCGGAAUCACUGGGCUUAAAGCGUGUGUAGGCGGAAUGGUAAGUACCUUGUGAAAUCCCACGGCUCAACCGUGGAACUGCUUGGUAUACUGCUUUUCUUGAGCCACUUAGGGGCAACCGGAACAAACGGUGGAGCGGUGAAAUGCGUAGAUAUCUGGAGGAACACCGGUGGCGAAGGCGGCGUUCUGGACUGUAUCUGACACUGAGGAACGAAAGCCAGGGGAGCAAACGGG